CGCUCGCCCGGGGGCGCGCUUGCGCGCCAGCGGCUGCGGACACCAGCCUGCGUCCCCGGCGCGGCGGGCCAUGGAGGCCCUGCGGAGGGCCCACGAGGUCGCGCUCCGCCUGCUGCUGUGUAGGCCGUGGGCCUCGCGCGCCGCCGCCCGCCCCAAGCCCAGCGCCUCGGAGGUGCUGACGCGGCAUCUGCUGCAGCGGCGCCUGCCGCACUGGACCUCCUUCUGCGUGCCCUACAGCGCCGUCCGCAACGACCAGUUCGGCCUCUCGCACUUCAACUGGCCGGUGCAGGGCGCCAACUACCACGUCCUGCGCACCGGCUGCUUCCCCUUCAUCAAGUACCACUGCUCCAAGGCUCCCUGGCAGGACCUGGCCCGGCAGAACCGCUUCUUCACGGCGCUCAAGGUCGUCAACCUCGGUGAGUGGCGACUGCCGCACCCACGCGGUGAAGCCCGCCCGGCCGGGACGGCCCCUCAGCCACCGAGCACGUGACGAACGCUCGCAGGCCGGUAGAGUCCCGCGGGAGUCAGCUCUGCCUCCCGGCGCCGGCUUCGCCUGGGGUCCUUUGUACUCCUCGCCCAGGGGGUCCCCAGCUUGCUGAGCUCCUGGCUCCCGAAGCCGUUCGCCUGCUGCGGGCGCGUCCUCGGGCCUAGGGAGGGGCGGGUCGCCCUCCUGUCCUGCCCGUGUUAACCAGAGAAGACCCCUGGCCUGGGCAGUAAGCCAGGGGGCGUCAGGAAACGCCCCCUAGAAAGUGGCUCUGAAGUUGACACCCGUCCUACUGCAUGGCAGGACUCAUUCCCGUGAACAUCACUUUGCAGCUGCGUUUAUGUUGCAAUAACUGGAACUACUCUUCUAAGUUUGUUUUCUUUGUAUGAAUUCCCGGCAAGUUCGUUUUACUAAAAGCACCAAAGGUUUUCACCAGACAUAACAGCUUCCUGAGGUGCUAGGCCUAAAAGAUUUUUAAAGAUCUUUAAUAUUUGUAUAUUUUCAUGGAGACGCCCUGAGGAUGUUUACUGUCUAUUUUCUUUUGGUUUAAUGACAGAAGAGGGAGGUACGAACAUGGACACUGGUGUAUCUUUUAUAGGUCAGGGGAAAACAGAAGGCCUCAAGAUGUUUUGAACUUACUAAUAGCUGGUAUAAAAUCAAUCUAGAUUUCAGUGAUUCAAAAUCUAGCCAUGGAGCUGAAUGAACCAUGUUACCCAGCCAGGUUUUUAAAGCCAGGAUUAAAACUAAACCCUGCGCAGCCGUACUACUAAUACUAUUACAUAAUCUGACCGUCCAUUAAGGUUAAAAAUAGUCUGUGUAUUUGUGCUUAUAAUAACACAUAUGUCAGUCGUGGGCUUUUUGAGCCGUUACUCCACUGGACUGUCCUGUAAGGAGAAAAUUGUUUAGCAACGUGUUAUCCUUUAAAAAUGCCUCUUACUAUUUGGCUGAUGGACUGUAUAGAGCAUGCCCACCACUUUGGAGGUUGGUUGAAGUUGAAGGGUGAGGUGACUUAGGAAAUUCAAUUCGAAAUUAUUUGGAAAGACUGGAGUGUUAACUAGAUUCGAGAAGUGUAUUCCAACUUUAUUAUAUGGACUUGGCUCCUGGUUAUUUGCCAGAGUCACAGAGACUGUGCAUACCAGUUAUGGACCCAUAACAGUUUAUUUUCUCAAUAAAGAAGAUGAAGGUGCCAUGUAUUGAAAGUGUGCAUCGAAGAACAUAAAUAUCAGUGGAUUUUCUCUGUGUAUAUGUGCAGUAUUUAUUUUUGAUCCUUUAAAAUAAAACUUUUGCAAAUA